rnacentral:rRNA from 1 species
AUUGAACGCUGGCGGCAGGCCUAACACAUGCAAGUCGAGCGAGCGGCGGACGGGUGAGUAAUGUAUGGGGAUCUGGCCGAUAGAGGGGGAUAAAUACUGGAAAAGGAGGCCAAUACCGCAUACUAUAGGAUGAAGCUAUAUGGGAUUAGCUAGUAGGUGGGGUAAAGGCUAAUCUAGGCGACGAUCACUAGCCGGUCUGAGAGGAUGAACUGCCACACUGGGACUGAGACACGGCCCAGACUCCUACGGGAGGCAGCAGUGGGGAAUCUUGCACAAUGGACGCAAGCCUGAUGCAGCCAUGCCGCGUGUAUGAAGACGGCCUUCGGGUUGUAAAGUACUUUCAGCGGGGAGGCGUUACCCGCAGAAGAAGCACCGGCUAACUCCGUGCCAGCAGCCGCGGUAAUAC